UACGGAGGGUGCGAGCGUUGUCCGGAAUCACUGGGCGUAAAGGGCGCGUAGGUGGCGCGGGAAGUCAACGGUGAAAGCUCAGGGCUCAACCCUGAGUCGGCCGUCGAUACUCCCGGGCUCGAGCACUGUAGAGGCAGGUGGAAUUCCGGGUGUAGCGGUGGAAUGCGUAGAGAUCCGGAAGAACACCGGUGGCGAAGGCGGCCUGCUGGGCAGUUGCUGACACUGAGGCGCGACAGCGUGGGGAGCAAACAGG
rnacentral:rRNA from 1 species